rnacentral:lncRNA from 1 species
CCCAGCUGUCGGUUGUUGUGAUUAAUGGAGAGGUGUAAUUAGAGGCAGCAGAGAGUUGUGAUAGCAGCUUGUCAAAAUGCAGGAGCGCUGCCUAUAGCGGGAUUGAACGUUUUGCUCUUUUUUCUUAGAGGUUCCUCUCCAUCUUUUAAUCCUAAGAAUGAUUCCAAGGAAUUUAAAGCUGGGAAAUCCAGAAGAUCUGCUGUAGGCUUUCUUCCCUCUGGAGAAAACAUCAAUGCUGACCCAGACAGCCUCCUUCUACACAAAAGCAGAGGAAACUGAAGUGGGCCUGGACAGUCAAGAGAGGAGUUUUGUCUGGGAAACUGCUUUGGAAAUGUUGAACUGCUCAGCUGCUGCUCAAGAGGUGCCAGAAGGACAGAAGAAACUGUGAUGUCCCUUGCUCCCUUCGGGUUGCCAGGGAGAGAUGGGAUGUAGCUGGGGGCUGGCUGGUGACUGUGAUCUAGAGACCAGCCACAUCAAUGCGAGAGCUGCGAUUAAAGGAUUUCGCAGGAGGGAUGCGGAUCUUGCCCCCGAGGUCCUGACGGAGUCAGGAGGGCAGCUGCUGCAGGCAGGGGGGUCAGGUCCUGCCCCUCACCAAGCAGGAGCACCGCGAGCGGUUGUAACGCUGGGCAUCUCUGUCCUGCAGCUGAUGGAGAGGUGAGGAAAGGGCUCCCCGGCCUAAUUAAUUUGGAGUGGCCUGAAGAUAAAUCAAGGCUGAAAACACACAACCUGCCUGAGCGCUGAAAUUACAUUCCAGGCACAUAGUUACCCCGUGGCUUUUACAUGGGGCUCCGCAGCACAACCUUGCAGCAAGAGCAUGUUUUCCCGGUCGCUGCUGAGCUGUCAGGUUGCACACCUGGAGACAGAAGGCUUGGGACCUGCCGCAGGAUUAAUUCACUGCAUAUUUGUGGGAAAUUUAGUUAUCUUGAUAAAAGACCUUCGCAGGAGCCUUUGCGUUGUGGCCCAUAGAGCACAGUCUCACGCCGUGCUGUGGGAGCGCCAGGAGAUGUCAACCGAAAGCAAGGCUGUGGUGUCGGUGUGCAGCACGGGACCUGGAGACUUCUUCUCAGCUGACCCUCCCCCAGCAAAGCAUAAGCACAGGCCAUUGGAAACCAGGGAGUUAUCGUCUGAGAAGCGAUCACAGCAAAUGCCCUCCGUGGGUUAAAGGAGCUGCAGCAGAGGUGACCUUUAAGGGAGGCUUUGAAGGAGGAACAUCAGGUCUCCUCUGGGAUUUGAGAGGGGAAUGCUUUCAGUCCGUUAGGAAUGGCACGAAAUGCAAUUCGAAACUGAGAAGUAUGACACAGCAGCAGCCAAGCUGGUAUUAGUAUUGGAGCAGAGGCAGGGAUCAACAUCUCCGUAAUAGUUUGUGUUCGAAGCAAUAGGGAAGAGCAGCCAGUGGAGGGCUGCGAACAGAAGAGUCAUUUGGCUGAAGCAAUGAGCCAGAAAAAUUAUCUGUGAAGAAGGAUGGCUGUAAGCGAGGUGGCUGGGGAUUUGUCAGGGUCAGAGAGAUGCUUCUAAUAGUCCAAGACAGAGGUUAAUCAAGACCAAUACAAGCAUUUUGCAAAGUGCAGAUAAAAAGGCAAAACUCUUAGAUCUGUUGUCUGAGGAAGACCUUAGAAACGGUGUGCAGGAAAAUGCGCGGGGACUGACUAACUCCAGCAGAGCUUAUAUCAAAUUAUUUGAACUAGCAGUAGGACCUGUCUCUUCAUAAACUUGGUUAAUACUGCUUCGGGGAAGCAAAGGCAAUAUUAAAUGUUUGUAUCUGUGUAGGAGAUCAUAACAUCAUCUCCCUCUGUUUAUUCUCAUUUAAUUCUUUAGGACUCUUAAAAUUGCAAUAGUCUUCUCUUGGUGGUGCAGUGACGAAGAUAUAACCAAGUCCGAUUGUACUGCUAAUCAGGACCCAUGAAUAGCACAGCCUGUUACUGAAUAUAUUUCUAUUUUACUACCAUGAGCCCAAUUAAUACCAGAUUGUUCACUAGGACUCAAAUAGCUUAUGUUUAAAUGUCAAAAAUUAUUUGGGACAUAAAUAUUUAAGGAAACAGAGGCUAUUACGUGCGCUUUGUCAGUUUAGAUAUUUGGCAUGUCGAUUUAUUUUUCUAUUUAUUACAAGACACUAAAACGAGUCAAAAAAAAGUGAAUGCUUCCUCUUUUUACAAAUUGCCCAUGAAGUGAAUCAUUAAGCGGUAGGCUGUGUCUGCCGUGCAGAAGAGUUGCUCUGCGCCGCUGAUUGCUAUGUUCCAGGCUGCGCAAUAAAGACAGUUCUUCAUAAUUGUCUCUGCUACA